rnacentral:rRNA from 1 species
GACGAACGCUGGCGGCGUGCUUAACACAUGCAAGUCGAACGGAAAGGCCCUGUUUUUGUUGGGUGCUCGAGUGGCGAACGGGUGAGUAAUACGUGAGUAACCUGCCCUUGACUUUGGGAUAACUUCAGGAAACUUGGGCUAAUACCUGCUAGGAGCUCCUGCUGCAUGGUGGGGGUUGGAAAGUUUCGGCGGUUGGGGAUGGACUCGCGGCUCAUCAGCUUGUUGGUGGGGUAGUGGCUUACCAAGGCUUUGACGGGUAGCCGGCCUGUGAGGGUGACCGGCCACAUUGGGACUGGGAUACGGCCCAGACUCCUACGGGGGGCAGCAGUGGGGGAUAUUGCACGAUGGGCGGAAGCCUGAUGCAGCAACGCCGCGUGCGGGAUGACGGCCGUCGGGUUGUGAACCGCUUUCGCCUGUGACGAAGCGUGGGUGACGGGAAUGGGUAAAGUAGCACCGGCUAACUACGUG